GCCGAAGUGGUGAAAUUGGCAGACACGCUGCGUUCAGGGCGCAGUGGGCGCAAGCCCUUGAGGGUUCGAAUCCCUCCUUCGGCA
rnacentral:tRNA from 1 species